CUAUGCGCCUUGCCAGCCCGCUCAGGUGUGCCAGCAGCGCGGUAAUACGGAGGAUGCGAGCGUUAUCCGGAUUUAUUGGGUUUAAAGGGUGCGUAGGUGGUUAAUUAAGUCAGCGGUGAAAGUUUGUGGCUCAACCAUAAAGUUGCCGUUGAAACUGGUUGACUUGAGUAUAUUUGAGGUAGGCGGAAUGCGUGGUGUAGCGGUGAAAUGCAUAGAUAUCACGCAGAACUCCGAUUGCGAAGGCAGCUUACUAAACUAUAACUGACACUGAAGCACGAAAGCGUGGGGAUCAAACAGG
rnacentral:rRNA from 1 species